UAGAGGAUUGUAAAGUCUGAUUUAUAGGCC
rnacentral:piRNA from 1 species